rnacentral:sRNA from 1 species
GCCAGGCAUGGUGGUGCAUGCCUGUAAUCCUAGGGACCUGGGAGGCUGAGGCAGGAGGAUGGCAAGUUAAAGGCCAAUGCCAGUAAUUUAGUUAGACUCUGUCUCAA